rnacentral:tRNA from 1 species
GGCUUCGUAGCUCAGUCUGGUCAGAGCACUGGACUCUUAAUCCAGGUGUCGCGGGUUCGAAUCCCGUCGAGGCCA